GGGGGCAGCAGGCAAACUUGGCAGGUCCCUACACUCUCAAGUCCCAGUGGCGCAGAUGUCAAAUUGGAAUUCUAAUACCCAGAGGUUAGAACUGGCAAUGAGAACAGGCUUGGCAGACCAGCCAAACGCAGGCAGAGAGGAAACCAAACGCCUGAGAAGAUCUGAGGAAACUGGAGAAGAGGCCAUUUCUGAUAGGGAACCAGCCAGGAGGGCGGAUAACAGGUCUGCGGGGGAGGGCAGCAUGGCUCCAAGGAAGAGAAGAGCAGCCAGACUCUAGGCCCGCCCUCUCUGGGCCAGAGGGCAGGAGUCUCCCCUGGUGCAAAGGCCUCUGAUGCAACUCCGUGUUUUAGGUCAAAUAAUGUCCAAAAACCCUAUGCUCGACUUAAUCAACCGUCCCGGGUCUCUGGCCUUUCCUUCACCCCCUCCAUCUGGCGGCGCAUGAUUGCUGCAGCUUUCUGGCACUGCCCGCCCGGAACCAGCGCACAGAUUAAAGGGCACGGCUCCCAAGGAGACUGCCCUCCGUUUAAGGUCAGCCACGGGCAGUCCAGCCACUGUGAUCCUGACCGGUCAGCAACCAACCGGGCUUCCCACGACCCCCUGCAGGUUUGCUGUUCCUCGGCAGGACCCAGAACUCAGCAAAGAACCCCAGGCUCCUCCCUCUCUGCUCAAAGCUGAUGACUUCUUAAACCGAAAUGGUUGGUCAGAAUCCAAUCAAGAAUAGAAAGGCAACUGAACAAAUAAAACCAUGAAAGGCGCUGCUGUGCUGGGUAAACUCCCAGGCCCACGGGGGUUGAAAUGAUGCAAUAAUUCUUUAAAAACCUUCGCCCUUUGCCCUGGAGACGCAUCCUCCCGCAGAAGCCACCUGCGUGGUCACCAUCUCCUCUGGUCCUCAGUCUGCUGCUACGAAGUCUGAGCCGCUCUGGGCAGCAAGUGACGCAAAUUUAUCAUCAGCUAAGCUUAUGCACCCUUAUGCCCCGCAAUUCCGGCUGGCAUUCUGCAUUUGGUAUGCGAUUAAAUACAUCUCGAAUAAAGGAAGGGCUGCUUUUAACUUACAGGAGAUCAUUACGUUUUACUACAUCUGCAACGCACAUAAAAUUUUAUACGUACAAUCACUACCAAUAUUUUGAUUGUUCCUCAAUUUGUUUGUAACCGAAGACCUCCGCAAGGCUCUGGGGCACUUGACGGACGGAAGACGGGGAUGUUACAAGGAGCGGAGCGGGCCCCACCCACAGGGCCACCUUUGUGCCAGAGCUGAAAGAUGCGACACUGCUCUCGGGACCUGGAGGGGCUCCCGGUCUGGUAACAGUGACUCUCUGGCUUAGGCUCCCAUUCUGCUGUCUGCCAUCCUCCAAAUAAGCAUGACUGUCCUUUAAAGUAACCACUGCGUCCGGACAAUUCUCUUUCGGUAUCGAACACGAACCCACUGAAAUUAAGGACCCGAUUUAAAACCGCCCGGCUUCCAUCACUUCGGGAUUAGAAGCCCUGGUGUCCAUUCGUCUUAUUCCUCCGGCACGUUUACUGCGCCCCGCACGGUCCUGGUCCAGCGCUGGGUCCACCUUCCCGCUGUCGCCGACAUCAGAGUCACGGGGAGCAAGGAUGCGCGUGGGGUAACGGGGGGCUGGAGUGACGCUCACCGAGGUAAGACUGUAGUGAGGCCCCAGGAGAGUGAGGGGUCCGUGGCCCGAGGGGGGCCGUGGCGCCCAGCCAGGGGCCCCAGGGCGCCCAGCUCUCCAGCCACUCUCGUGAAAGCGAGGCUGGAGGCGGUAAACUGGGGCCACGUGAUCCCCACUGGGGGCUCCGGGCUGGCGCUCGGAGUGAGAGGAGAAAGGCAGAGAGAACCAGAAGCUCCCAGCCGAGCAGCUGUAGACUCUUCCAGGACAUGAGGAGGGGGUGGGCGGGAGGCAAGAGGCAAGAGAGGAGGCGAGCAAGCCAGAGGCACCAGGGAGGGGCGAUCGCAGGGCCCCGACCCGACCCGACCCGACCCGACCCGAGAGCGCCGGCCCCGGCCCUGCGGCUCCAGGGCGGGCGGCAGCGGGCUGGGGCCUCGGGGUGAAUUUCUCAGGCUCGCAGACUCGGUUUUUUACCUGUUUUCAAACAGGAAAAGUUCCAGUUUGAUGCAAACCUCUUCGACGCCAGCACGGACAGAAUGGGAGCAGAGCUGCUUCUGCCCCAGCCGCCCCGCUUUUACCGCCGCCAACGCCCAGUAACUACAUGCCUCUCCACUGAGCACCAAUGCACGUUUUUAAGACUCUUGGAAAAUAAAAACGAAGCACCAAACCAAACAUAUAAAGGGUUUGUUAGAUGGAAGUUCAGAAGGAAAACCCAGAGCUCGGCCGCCAAAGUGAAGUUAUUUAGGCGCUACUUUUCCUAAGCCCUUCCUGUUUUCAACUGCCCGAAGAAGAAGAAGGCAUUCUGAUGGGCUUCCCGACUCAUCUGAAAACUUUACAUGAUGUCCCAGGAGACCGAGAGAAUCAUAAAAUCCCGAACGAGGGGCCUCAGAGUACUUGGGUCUAGAAAGCUGGCAGAGUGGAGAGAACAGAGAGCUCGGGAGCUUUUAGGAGCGUCCCCCAGGGGUCACGGGUCCCCGGGAGACCCUCGGGUCUUCAAGUGUGAGAAAGGAAGCGAUUCGCUGGCGUUCCUUUAGGAACGAAGUCUCUGGCAACUUGUGCUCUUCAAGAGUGAUUCAGAGCCAAGGCUUUUUAAAUGUUUCUGCGCACAGGUCAACGAAACACUGAAUUGUUCCGUCCUGUUGUUGUCUAGCUGGAAUCCGGCUACGGGCGGAGAGGCACGGGAGAAAUCCCAUGCCCGGUUUAAUGCCGACCGUCGUACUUGGCUUUUCCUAUAAAGAUUAUAAAACACAGUGGCCUCUUGUGAGCAAAUCUCAGAACCGCAGCGUCACCGCGGGCCUGGGGCGUGGGUGCAGCUCUGGGGGCCUGAAGCUGCCCCCCUUCUCUUCCCAUUUUCAUUUCAGCAGCUCGCACAUGCUGCGAAGAACUACCUCUGACCCCGCGCUUUUCAAGCCAUCAGAGUGUCCGCUGCAGCGGGAGCGUCUGCGGGGCUGCCCGAGGGUUUUCGGCCCUGGAGGUGGAUGCAGCCCCACAAAGGAGAAGCACCCCCCUUCCAGAGGCUGGAGGGCUUUUGCUUCCUUCUAAAAGAAGGGUACGGGGGACCAGAGAGACUAUCGGGACGUUAGGACGAGCCCUGUAAUGUUUUCAACAUCAACACCCCAGAGGAGGGUCCCCGGAGAAGCAAGCACAGCAGCCUCUGGGCCAUCGGGACCACCCAGGCUGCCUCCGCGAGCGGGCCUGUCCCUGUGACCUGGGAGGAGCAACAGCAGUUUAAACGCGUGGAGCAGCACGAAGACUUAACCAGCUAAGACUUAAUCGCAGAAAAGCCACUUAACGUCUAGAGCUUAAAAAAACUCCAAGUGGAAGAUGAGCAGAUUUAACUGGAAGGCAUUUCAGGUUUUUACCAAAAAGUCAGUGCUUGUGUGUGUGUGUGUGUGUGUGUUCAAAGCUCACACAAUGAAAGCAGCUCUGCUUUAAACUUUGUUAUACAACACCAAUUAAACUACUGGCAUUUGUUUUGUGA